rnacentral:rRNA from 1 species
CAGUCGCCACGGUAAUACGAAGGGUGCAAGCGUUAAUCGGAAUUACUGGGCGUAAAGCGUGCGUAGGCGGUUUGUUAAGUCCGUUGUGAAAUCCCCGGGCUCAACCUGGGAAUGGCAAUGGAUACUGGCAAGCUAGAGUGUGUCAGAGGAUGGUGGAAUUCCCGGUGUAGCGGUGAAAUGCGUAGAGAUCGGGAGGAACAUCAGUGGCGAAGGCGGCCAUCUGGGACAACACUGACGCUGAGGCACGAAAGCGUGGGGAGCAAACAGGAUUAGAUACCCCAGUAGUCCCUGUCUCUUAUAC